GGCUCAGGACGAACGCUGGCGGCGUGCCUAAUACAUGCAAGUAGAACGCUAACUAUUGGAGCUUGCUCUAAUAGUGUGAGUUGCGAACGGGUGAGUAACGCGUAGGUAACCUGCCUGGUAGCGGGGGAUAACUAUUGGAAACGAUAGCUAAUACCGCAUAGGAUUCUUUAUCGCAUGGUAAGGAAUGAAAAGGUGCAGCUGCACCACUACCAGAUGGACCUGCGUUGUAUUAGCUAGUAGGUAGGGUAACGGCCUACCUAGGCGACGAUACAUAGCCGACCUGAGAGGGUGAUCGGCCACACUGGGACUGAGACACGGCCCAGACUCCUACGGGAGGCAGCAGUAGGGAAUCUUCGGCAAUGGGGGGAACCCUGACCGAGCAACGCCGCGUGAGUGAAGAAGGUUUUCGGAUCGUAAAGCUCUGUUGUAAGAGAAGAACGUUAGCGGGAGUGGAAAAUCCGCUAAGUGACGGUACCUUACCAGAAAGGGACGGCUAACUACGUGCCAGCAGCCGC
rnacentral:rRNA from 1 species